rnacentral:rRNA from 1 species
GACGAACGCUGGCGGCGUGCUUAACACAUGCAAGUCGAACGGUAAGGCCCUUCGGGGUACACGAGUGGCGAACGGGUGAGUAACACGUGGGUAAUCUGCCCUGCACUUCGGGAUAAGCCUGGGAAACUGGGUCUAAUACCGGAUAUUCAGUUCCUGCCGCAUGGUGGGGGUUGGAAAGUUUUUCGGUGCAGGAUGAGCCCGCGGCCUAUCAGCUUGUUGGUGGGGUAAUGGCCUACCAAGGCGACGACGGGUAGCCGGCCUGAGAGGGUGAUCGGCCACACUGGGACUGAGACACGGCCCAGACUCCUACGGGAGGCAGCAGUGGGGAAUAUUGCACAAUGGGCGAAAGCCUGAUGCAGCGACGCCGCGUGAGGGAUGACGGUCUUCGGAUUGUAAACCCCUUUCAGUAGGGACGAAGCGCAAGCGACGGUACCUGCAGAAGAAGCACCGGCCAACUACGUG